GGUCCUGGCAGCCAGGCCUCUCCCGGCAGCGAUCACUCCCAGUCCUCCGACCCUCCUGUUCUGCGGCCGAAACGCCUGCUACAAACGAUUAGAGAUAAGAACACGUUAAUUUCCCUUUCUUUCCAGGCACUUGGACUCGCCGCGCGCUCCGCCGCCCGGGCGAAGAGUGGAGCGGAGAGGGCCGCUCGCCAGCUCGCCCGCCGCCCGCACCCGCUGCCAUGUGCUGGCUGUUGCUGCUCCCUGUGAUUGACAGGCGGGCGCACAGUCGGCGUGUCAGCAGCGAACCAAAGUAACAUGCAGUCUUGCACGUUUUUGCCGAAGUGCUUUUGCCCCUUGGAAUGCCUAAGAGUUCAAACAACGUUCAAGCGACGCUUCUGCGCAUUGGAAAUCAAUACACAGAGACGGGAAAUUCAGGGCUGGGAGUUGUGUCUGCGGCUAUCACUCUGCAAACCACUGCGUGCCUUACAGAGCAGUCCCACUCCGGCUCCGCAGAAUUUCAGCUCUUUGCCUCCACCUCCACCUCCACUCCAGGACACGCCUCCAGUGAUAUCAUGUGUCAAUCAUACGGGCUGCCUGAAAACCUGGAGCAGGAUUUCCCCAACAGUCGUUUCCUCUUUCCUUUAUGAGUACCCACUUGGAUAUAUCGCCCUGUACACUCCCCUAACAAACAUCCUCUGA
rnacentral:lncRNA from 1 species